UGCCACAAGAUCUGCUCUCUUCCCUUUAAAAAUUAAAAUCAAUAUAAUUUUUGAUUUUUUUAAAAAAUAGUCCUCUUAUUUUCUGAUAGAGGAAACCUCUUGGUUCUCCAAAGGUCAAGAUGAGCGACUACGUGGCUUAUGGAGUUUGUAUUAACGGAAAGAUGUGAAAAUAUAGCAUGAAGAUCUGAUGUCCUCUUCUUAGUCCAAUAGCCUUCCAGCGUUCUGAACUCAUCACCCAGCUCCAGGAAGAUUCUGCAGAACACCAAUGGCUUGGAUCGCAUUGCCUGCUUACAAAGUGAGAGGGGCAAAUCCCAUGGAUGGAAAAGAGACCAUGAUGUCUUGCACUUGGAAUUGACCAGAACGGAAGUCACAGACAUUCAUUGGAAGCAAGAGACACCCCUUCCCACAGCGAACAAGGAACCAAACCAAAGAAAACUUCAAACCAAAACCCAACUGCUCAAACUGGUUCAACACUCCCAACUGUAAAAGCUGUUUGAUAGUGGAAUGGUUUGCCUCCUGCCAUGAUGUCGUCUCCCUUCGCUGGAGGUUUUCAAAAAACCUAGAAGGCCACCUCUCUCUCAGUGACACUGUAGCCGUUGCCUACACUGUGCAGGCGGGUGGAUAAAAAGACGUCAAAAGACCAUUUCAGGAUUACAAGAAACACCGCCACUUAAACAGCCACCAGCUGAAAGUCACUGGACCAAUUGCUGAUGCUGGCCAAGCUGGAAUCUUUCCUGCCGACCACAACCUGUUGCCUGGAACGCACCCGGGCUGUGCAAAAACAGAGCAAGCCAUCCCCGACCCAACUCUCGAUGCUGCCACUCUCUCUGGAGAAAUCACGUUUGAUCGUCAAUAAUCUAGAGCUAAAAGGGAUGGCAGCUGGAGCAGCAGAACGAGUGACGCUUGAAAUGUGAAUGCCGGCCGUGGAAGGUGUACGAGCCACCAAGAACUUUGGUUCUGUCAGGAUUUGGAGGCUUCCUGAAAAAGGUUCUCCUUGGGGCAUUCAACCUGCUACCCCUGCUGACUGAGCAGAGAGGUGGAAAUUCCUCUCCCAACAUGGCACCUGCUGGGACAUACACAUUUAUAAACCAACCAUGUCCACUUGCUAUGGGAGGAAAGCACCAACCACACAGCAUUUGACUUGACUAGUAAAUACAGCUCAGCGUGGAGAUGCUUCAGCACCAUGAACAGCUCCCCACUUGGUCUGGGGUAUUUCAUCCCUGCCUCUCCUCUUGCUGAGUUUGAACCUGGUGGAUCCUGACAGCUCAUCAGUCUUGUGAACUUUGGAAACAACCAUGAUUUAAUGCCUGAGAGCUAAAGUUAGACACAUUCAGCCUUGAAAUAAGGUGCAACCACAGCACG